rnacentral:rRNA from 1 species
UACGGAGGAUGCGAGCGUUAUCCGGAUUUAUUGGGUUUAAAGGGUGCGUAGGCGGGCUGUUAAGUCAGCGGUCAAAUGUCGGGGCUCAACCCCGGCCUGCCGUUGAAACUGGCGGUCUUGAGUGAGCGAGAAGUAUGCGGAAUGCGUGGUGUAGCGGUGAAAUGCAUAGAUAUCACGCAGAACUCCGAUUGCGAAGGCAGCAUACCGGCGCUCAACUGACGCUGAGGCACGAAAGCGUGGGGAUC